AUUGAACGCUGGCGGCAGGCCUAACACAUGCAAGUCGAACGAUCACAGGAAGAAGCUUGCCUCUUUGCUGACGAGUGGCGGAGGGGUGUGUCAUGUGUGUGACAUUGCUUGAUGAAGGGGGUUAACUACUGGAAACGGUACUUAUUACCGCAUAUCGUUGCAAGAUCAAGGAGCAGGACUUUCGGGCGUUUUUUCAUUGAAUUUGCGCAGAUGGCAUUAGCUAGUAGGUAGGGUAUCGGCUCACCUAGGCGACGAUCCUUAGCUGGUCUGAGAGGUUGAACAGCCACACUGGAACUGAGACACGGUCCAGACUCCUACGGGAGGCAGCAGUAGGGAAUAUUGCGCAAUGGGCGAAAGCCUGAUGGAGCAAUGCCGCGUGAAUGAAGAAGGUCUUCGGAUUGUAAAAUACUGUCAGUGGGGAGGAAGGAAGGAGAGUUAAUCCCUGUACGUAUUGACGGUACCCGAAGAAGAAGCAACGGCUAACUACGUG
rnacentral:rRNA from 1 species